GGUAAAAGUGCAUUCGGUCAUA
rnacentral:siRNA from 1 species